AUUGAACGCCGGCGGCAGGCCUAACACAUGCAAGUCGAGCGGAUGAUGGGAGCUUGCUCCUGGACUCAGAGGAGGCCGGGUGAGUAAUGCCUAGGAAUCUGCCUGGUAGUGGGGGAUAACGUCCGGAAACGGGCGCUAAUACCGCAUACGUCCUGAGGGAGAAAGAGGGGGAUCUUCGGCCCUCACGCUAUCAGAUGCGUCUAGGUCGGAUUAGCUAGUUGGUGGGGUAAAGGCCAACCAAGGCGACGAUCCGUAACUGGUCUGAGAGGAUGAUCAGUCACACUAGAACUGAGACACGGUCCAGACUCCUACGGGAGGCAGCAGUGGGGAAUAUUGGACGAUGGGCGAAAGCCUGAUCCAGCCAAGCCGCGUGUGUGAAGAAGGUCUUCGGAUUGUAAAGCACUUUAAGUUGGGAGGAAGGGCAGUAAGUUAAUACCUUGCUGUUUUGACGUGACCAACAGAAUAAGCACCGGCUAACUUCGUG
rnacentral:rRNA from 1 species